rnacentral:misc_RNA from 1 species
AAUAACAAAUGGAAUUAUGGGUAAUUUAUUCAAAUGGCGGAAUGAUUACAAUGCUGACUAUGGUUCCACUUCAGUGAUUUGUAAAGAAGGGAUGACCGACUUAUUUGGUACUCCAUGAUUUUGACAGACACAACAUAUUAAAAUGGAAAACGACGUGGAUGUAGAUAAACGUGAGGAAGUGUUCCACAACGCUGUCCGAGAAUACAUCAUAUUCAUGCUGCUCUUCAUCCUGCUGUAUGUGAGUUCCUACAUAACUAUCUGCUAUUUCAAAAGAAAAGCUGAUUCUGAUGACACCUAUGCUGGUGGAGAGGAAGAUGCUGUUGUAUACAGAAUAGCGUUAUGGCUGUGUACAUUCACUCUGUCCGUGUCUGUUGGUGCUGUUCUGCUGUUGCCCAUAUCUAUCAUAUCCAACGAAGUGCUGCAUCACUAUCCAAAAAGUUAUUACGUCAAGUGGCUUAACAGCUCCCUCAUCCACGGAUUAUGGAAUAUGCAGUUUGCCAUGUCCAAUGUUUCACUGUUUUUCUUCAUGCCAUUUGCAUAUUUUUUCACGGAAUCUGAAGGUUUUGUAGGGUAUAAAAAGGGUGUAAUGGCGCGUGUCUACGAGUCUGUCAUUGUCCUCUUCCUACUCACCCUUGUUAUUGUGGGUUGUGUGUGGGUCGUGUCUGCAUGUUUUGAUGAAGACGUCCACAAAAAACAGAGAUUAUUUGAUCUCCUUUCAGAUAUCUGGAACUUCUAUUUGCCGUAUAUUUACGCAAUCAUAUCAUUUAUUGGAGUCAUUGUCUUACUUUUAUGUACACCUGUGGGUUUUGCCCGAAUGUUUACUGUGAUGGGUAAACUUGUUGUUAAACCAAAGUUUUUAAGAGAUAUAGAUGAAGAGUUUGCAACUUUAAAAAUGCAAGAGGAAAGUAUACGUAGGAAAAUAGACUGUGAAUUACAUCACCAACAUAGCACUAUAGCAAAUGGCCAUGCUACAUCAGGCUCCCUACAAAAACAGCUGGAGGAAAUAGAAAAAGAUAAAGCUGAAUUAGAAAAAAGGAAAAAGAUAUCUCCCUUGAGAAGGAACCUUGGAUAUCCCUUGGUUAUCCUUGCUUUGUUAGCAUUAACAGUAUUGUGUGUGUUAAGUGUGGCACACCAUUUCUUUGAACUCCUAGUUGGAAUCAAAGCCCUUCCAGUCGGAGCCAAGGAGACUGUGUUAGGAAUCUCGUCCUUGUCUGCUCUGGGGUCUGUUGGUGCUGUCCUGGAGAUUGUCCUAAUCCUAUAUGUCAUGUCUGCCUCUAUAGAGGGAUUCUACUCGCUGCCGUUCUUUAGGCGACUUACACCAGAGCCACACAAUACCUCCAUGGUUCAGACCAUUGGCAACUGUGUUGUGCUGCUCAUCCUUAGCUCAGCCCUGCCAGUUCUGUCUCGGAUCAUGGGUAUUACAAACUUUGACCUGAUCGGGAACUUUGGCAGUAUGGACUGGCUGGGUAACUUUUACCUUAUUCUUACUUGUAAUGCUGUUUUUGCCACGACAACUACUAUGUGUUUGACCAACAAGUUCACAGGGACAGUGCGGUCAGAGGUGUUCAACCGACUGUGGACCUGGGUGUCACAAAAGGAAAAAAAACAAAAACCUCAAAGUUACACAUCCUUCAAGGAUGAUUAAUUCCAUGUGGAAGAAGAAAUACAAUCCACACAGAUGACAAUCCAUUUGCAAGGCAAUCUACGCAAGAAAUCCAGACAGGCACUAGAAUUACAUUAAACGAGAAGGCCACCCACCUAAAAAUCCUAACAGAGAUUCCACACAAAGAGCAUCGCAUUCCGGAAUUGGGCACAAAGACAAUCACACUAUGAAAUUCUGCGCAAAAAGAGAAUAAGGUUCUUUGAUUAAUUUGUUAAUUAACAUUUUAAACUGGUACAAUAGUUAUAAUUGGCACUAUUUGCCUAAAAAUAUGGAGAAAGAAAAACAUCUGUAUACAUUGAUCUCUGAACAUGAUGCUAGACAAAUUUUGACAGUGAUGUCGUUAAUACCGUUUAGAGGUUAUCAUUUGUAAGGACUUAAGUGUGUGAUAUUUUUAUGGUCUGACCACAAUCUUAAAUGCUUGUUAUGUAGUUAAACAUUACAAUUAUCUAUAUGACACUGUUAGUGGUAUACUGUUGAUGAUCGUACAAGUGACUAGACCAUUACUUAACUUUAUACGGCUAGAUACCAGCAAACAUCAGACAUACUGGUGAUACAACUAUUACCUGGUAGUAAUGUAUUGGUGAUCACACAAUAAGAUAGUAAUAUAGCGCUAGUGAUCACAAUAUUAGUAAACUCAACAUUACACUAUUGUACUAAUGAUCACAACAUAAGUUAUAUAGCGCUAGUGAUCACAACAUUAGUAAACUCAAUAUUACACUAUUGUACCAAUGAUCACAACAUAAGUUAUAUAGCGCUAGUGAUCACAACAUUAGUAAACUCAACAUUACACUAUUGUACCAGCGGUCACAUUACUAAUAAAUUACACUGUUAAUAUUACUAGUAAAUUCACGAUUUUACUACUAGUUGUAACUGUGCUAGUGGUCACACUUUUAGUAAUACUAGUAAACUCGCUAUCAUACCAUUACUAAAACUUGUUAACUCACCAUUGCACUUACUAUUAGUAAUACUAGUAAACUCGCUAUUACACUGUUGUACUAAUGAUCACACUAUUAGUAGCAAUAUUGCUAGUGGUAGCAGCACUUAAACUCGCUAUUUGACUAUUAGUUUCACAAGUGAUCAUACCAUUACUAAAACUUAUUAACUCACCAUAACACUUUUAGUAAUACUAGUAAACUCGCUACCAUACCAUUACUAAAACUAGUUAACUCACCAUAAGUGACAGUGAUCACACCAUUACUAAAACUUAUUAACUCACCAUUACACUUUUAGUAUUAGUACUAGUAAACUUGCCAUUAGUAACACUAGUUAUCUCAUCAUUAGUGACAGUGAUCAUGCUAUAAUUAUACAAGUGAUCAGUGUUAAGCCUAGCAAUGCAAAUAUCUGAUGUUAUUGUUUUUCUGAGAGAAUUGGCUUUAUUUAUGUAUGGGAUUUUUCUUUGAACAAAAAAACUUAUUUAUAUGCAUUUUUUUUAUUUAUUUUGAUGGAAUGAUUUUUUUUUUAUCAAAUAUAUGUUUUUGUAAUAGACAUAUGGGAAUGAAUUUGUUACAAGAGGUAUUUGUAGCAAAGCUAUGUAAAAAGUACAAUUGUUAUAACAUGUAUUGUGAUAUAAAGGUCAGUUAUGUACCGAUGUAUGUUGUAUUGCCUUGAUAGGCCAGAGGUGCCAUGUUGAGUGGCAAAACAUCUCAUUGUUUAGUGGUGCUUAGAAAAAUACAAAUUAAAGGAAUAGAUGGUGUUCAGCUAUGACACAGAAUGGGAAGGAAAAGUUGUUGAGUGAUAUACAUAAUAUAUAGUUUGUGUGAUUUGAAAUUAAGCAUUCUAUAAUACUUUUGCCAAUGUUUUCAUUAAUGCCAUUUUGACAUCAUCAUCAACCAUUGUGUUCCGAUUGUGUGUUAUAUUUUAUACUGAGAUGUCUAAUUUUGCUAAAUUUCUAUAUUUUAGAGACCGAAACACUGUUAUAGGUAAUAACUUCAGCAGAACAGCACCAUACACAGUAAUGAUCAUAUACUUGUUAGUAAACCCAAACUCUACAAUUCUAUGCUGAAGGAAUUGUAAACUAGCUUGUAAGGAGUGUCCCUUGGCCAAAAAGAGUUAAAAUUGUGUGAAUUAAUGGUGCAGCUGUCCUGGGGCUGGAGGGGUAAAACUUAAAAAAAUAAUCUGAAAAACUGCUUGACAUAGUUAAUUUAAUUGACUAUAGAGCAACUCUUGGGCAAUCAGAAUCAGUUUUGUAUAGGAAAUUGGUGUUGACAAGGUGUCCAGAUACUGUUGACAAGGUGUCCAGGUACUGUUGACAAGGUGUCCAGGUACUGUUGACAUUGAGGUUGGUUGAUGUUAACAAAAAUUACUACAAAUGUUCCUGUUAUUACGCUGAUGUGUUAUUAUUGUAAAAAGUUGCAGCUCAAUUUGAAAUCCAAGAUGGCUUCCAUGGUCUUCAAUUGUCAGGAACAUUUCAGCUUCUUUUCUAGUUUAAAAGAAUACCAAAAUAUAGGCUAACAAUUUAACUGUACUUUGUGAAACUAUAUAGAAAAAAAGAGAUGCACAUUUAUAUUACUGUAAUAUACAUUUCAAUUUUAGCUUGUUUCCAGGUCGUUAAUUCAAUUUUUCAUAGGUACUUCAGAGAUGAGUGUAAAUGAGGUGAGUUAUUUCAGCCUCUUAUUUAAAUGUAUGCCAACUGGUUGUACAGUGAACAUAGAAAAUCAAAUCCUUGAUGCCCAGUGACUAAUAGCAAUUACUUAUAACGUAUACUAGUGGACAUAUGUCAGUAGAAUAAGCCAAACUAUUAUGUUUCAUGAGAGAAUAAUUCCCACUUCAUUCAAAAGGAGUUAAUAUGUAGUAUGUAUAGUAAUAUGGUGUAUGUAUUUGAUAUCCAUUGGUAUAGGAAUAUUACAUAUGCCAGUAUUUCAUUAUGUAAUGAGAAGUGUGGCGAGUAUCACUACACUACACACAAAUCCCUGUACAGCAACAUAGUAGCAAAACAUAAUAGUCAAUAUAAUAAAUUGCUAACAUAGAAUUGAAUCCAAAUUAUUUUUAAAAAAUAGGGGUAAAUAUUUACUAAAUUUUGCCUCAUCUCUUUCCUAUGCAUGUACUGUAUGCCAAGUAACAUAAGUUCAGACAAGGCCUCUUGUUUCACUGUAGUGUUUAAGGGUUAUUCACUCUGGUGUGUUUUGAUAAUAUUUUCAUGGCUUUUCUAGGUUGUCAUCUCUCAGAUGAAGACAAUUAUUCAGUGCUCUUAUCUCCGUAAUAUCCACAAUAGAUCUUAUAUCAAGGUACCUUUUGUUUUAAAAAAAGAUUAAUGAAAUUUAGUGUGUGAUCUUGUAUCAGCCCCUCUUGUGAUUUUACACUGUCCCAAAAUAGAAUCAUUAUAAGGGACCUACCUUGCAUUGAAUGUGGGGAAAAAAGAUGGGACUAUGUACCUUAAAUUUCUAAAUGACCCUCAUAGGUAGGGGUAGUUGUAGGUCAAUCAGAUGUUGUUAUUAUGUUUUCCAAGAGAAUGUGGACUACUUACUUAGUUGAGAUUCUCAAAUCUGGGCCAAACUUGAACAAGUCUUCCUGGAAAGCAACUCUUAACUUUUACUGACGAGGUGUUGUUUUCAUGGGACACAAACAAAGUGAGACUUUUUUCUGUAGUUUUGUAUAAAUGAGAUUAUGUAUGAACUUGCUUUAAUAAUAUUGCUCACUUUUUAAGCCUGAAAAACAUGUUGAAUAGGUUGGCUUCACAGAAUAUAUGAUUUAUAGGUAGGAUUCAUAAAGAUAUAAAUUUCAUUGUCAUGUAUAUUCAGCAUAAUAUUAUCCUUAACAAAUACGAUGAAUGUUGCUACUGACCUGAUUGUAAUAAUGAAGUGCUCUUUUUAAUCAAUCUAUUGUGUCUUGCCUGUAACAAGAAUAAGCUAAUGCCAAAAGAUAGGUUGUGUUCCGAUGAUUAGUGUUCCUUUAAGUUAGUACAUAACAGGUGAUGACUGUUAGGUGUUGCAUCAUUGGUGUAAAUUUGGUCUCUGCUGUGUGGUCUUGAGGUGUAUGGUAUGACCCUAUAUGCCUUUCUUGUGACUCUGGGUACAGCAUUUGACUUUAAUUCUGUGUAGUAAUAUGUUUGGCAAACUUAUGUAAGUCUCAGUUGUGAUGUUUCUGCUGAAGUAGCCAUGAGCUUCCGUACGGCUGAUUUUAUCUUGUAUUUGUAUAUCAAGGCCUUCCAUUAUGUUGCUAAGAAAACAAACAUUAAUCGAUUAUGAAAAUAUGUAGUUUAAAUAGAGGCUUCAUAAAAUGUCACAAUAAAAUGAAAGAUAUCACAAUUAGUUUGUUCAAAGAUAGGUCUGCUAAUUUCACAAGUGACUUAUGAAUUAUUUCCCUUUGAAACAAAUACCAUGGCUACAUAACGCUAAAGCAUGUCUAUUAUUUGCUCAAACACAUGAUUAGUAUUCAGUAUAAUUUUUUUUACAUAUGAACAAGAGACGCUGACACAAUUGAAAAAUUCAACACUGAGAAAACAGCAAAAAGACAGACUAUGUCUUAUUCUCAUAUACAAAUUUAAAACUAAUUGAAAAAUGGACAAAACAAACUAUUUGAUAGACAAAAAUACAUCUCAAAAUUGAUACAUGUAUAUAGAUCUAUUAAAUGAGUAUGAUUUGACCUUUUCUGUACCAAUAUCUGACCCCUGUGGUCUUCCCACAAUGCUAUCAUUGAGGGCUAUCACAACUUACAGUUCCAGUGUCAGUGCUGU